UACUCGAGUGGCGAACGGGUGAGUAACACGUGGGUGAUCUGCCCUGCACUUCGGGAUAAGCUUGGGAAACUGGGUCUAAUACCGGAUAGGACCGCACUUUAGUGUGUGUGGUGGAAAGUUUUUCGGUGUAGGAUGAGCUCGCGGCCUAUCAGCUUGUUGGUGGGGUAAUGGCCUACCAAGGCGGCGACGGGUAGCCGGCCUGAGAGGGUGUACGGCCACAUUGGGACUGAGAUACGGCCCAG
rnacentral:rRNA from 1 species